rnacentral:rRNA from 1 species
AUUGAACGCUGGCGGCAGGCCUAACACAUGCAAGUCGAGCGAGCGACGAACGGGGGAGUAAUGUAUGGGGACUGCCCGAUAGAGGGGGAUAACUACUGGAAACGGGAGCUAAUACCGCAUACUAUCGGAUAACCCAUAUGGGAGUAGCUAGUAGGUGAGGUAAUGGCUCACCUAGACGACGAUCCCGAGCGGGUCUGAGAGGAGGAUCAGCCACACGGGGACUGAGACACGGCCCAGACUCCUACGGAGGCAGCAGUGGGGAAUAUUUGACAAUGGGCGCAAGCCUGAUGCAGCCAUGCCGCGUGUAUGAAGAAGGCCCUAGGGUUGUAAAGUACUGUCAGUCGGGAGGCGUUACCGACAGAAGAAGCACCGGCUAACUCCGUGCCAGCAGCCGCGGUAAUAC